rnacentral:lncRNA from 1 species
AACGGGACCAGCUUCGAAAUUACCACGCAUGGCUUUCAAGAGUUCUCAAAGUGCCUACAGCGUGGAGCAACAAAGGGCAACAACUCCGUAGAAAUUGUCAAGUUCAACAAG